rnacentral:rRNA from 1 species
AGUGAACGCUGGCGGCGUGCCUAACACAUGCAAGUCGAACGAUGAUGGAGAGCUUGCUCUCCUGAUUAGUGGCGCACGGGUGAGUAUACCAUAGAUAAUGUACCCCUUAGUUCGGGAUAGCCACUGGAAACGGUGAUUAAUACCGGAUACUCCUUCUCGUUAUAAGAUGAGUCGGGAAAGUUUUUUCGCUAAGGGAUCAGUCUAUGUCCUAUCAGCUAGUUGGUGAGGUAAUGGCUCACCAAGGCUAUGACGGGUAUCUGGUUUGAGAGGAUGAUCAGACACACUGGAACUGAGACACGGUCCAGACUCCUACGGGAGGCAGCAGUGAGGAAUAUUGCACAGUGGAGGAAACUCUGAUGCAGCAACGCCGCGUGGAGGAUGACGCAUUUCGGUGUGUAAACUCCUUUUAAGAGGGAAGAUUAUGACGGUACCUCUUGAAUAAGCACCGGCUAACUCCGUGCCAGCAGCCGCAGUAA